rnacentral:rRNA from 1 species
UACGUAGGGUGCAAGCGUUGUCCGGAAUUAUUGGGCGUAAAGAGCUCGUAGGCGGUCUGUUGCGUCGGCUGUGAAAACCCGGGGCUCAACCCCGGGCCUGCAGCCGAUACGGGCAGACUAGAGUUCGGCAGGGGAGACUGGAAUUCCUGGUGUAGCGGUGAAAUGCGCAGAUAUCAGGAGGAACACCGGUGGCGAAGGCGGGUCUCUGGACAGUUCCUGACGCUGAGGCACGAAGGUCAGGGGGGCAAACGGG